CGCGAGAGGUGGCCGGCGGCGGCACGGUGUCCGCCGGCAACCAGCCAUAGCAAGGGCUUUUCGAGAGAGAGAUCGAAGAGGGUCUUGUAAGAGAAGAUGGGAGGUAUCACUCCGAGGUGAAGCGAAACGGUGCAGAGAUAAGCAAGAACAGAGUCAAUGAAAGCAACGUAGGUGGGUGCUUUGACGGUGCACGAAAAUAUCAUACGCGGAAUCGAAUCGCCUGUCGCCGCCGGGUCUUCGUCGCUCUCCGGCGGAGGCGGUAGUCGGCAACUCGCCCCACGUGAUGCAAGAGGAGGAUAAAAA